UACGUAGGGGCUAGCGUUGUCCGGAAUCAUUGGGCGUAAAGCGCACGUAGGCGGUUCGUUAUGUCAGAUGUGAAAGCCCUUGGCUCAACUGAGGAAGUGCAUCUGAAACUGGCGAGCUAGAGUAUGUAAGAGGGUCGCGGAAUUCCCGGUGUAGAGGUGAAAUUCGUAGAUAUCGGGAGGAACACCGGUGGCGAAGGCGGCGACCUGGGACAAUACUGACGCUGAGGUGCGAAAGCGUGGGGAGCAAACAGG
rnacentral:rRNA from 1 species